AUUAUGGUGAUGCUUUGCCGCAGUUGCUGAAAGCACGUUAUAUACUAACAAACGUAGCGCCCAUCUCCAAGUUGAUGACAGAUGUCUGUAAGCUUCUUGGAAGUUGUUAUGUGAUGUUGGAUUGCUUGAUUGAUGCGGAGAAAGCAUGCGCAGAAUCUCUUAGAAUAUGUAAAGCUCUAUACCCAUUAGGACAUUCUGCGCUCAAUAAAGCUGAAGAGGAUUUACGGAAAGUGCGGCAACGCAUAUGCGGACAAUGAUGUAAAACUUCUGUGCCUAGCAGCAACAAACUUUGUACCCACAGUGCUGUCAACGCUAAAAUUAGAAGACGCAUGCUUUGCUAAUUGUAAAAAAAAUUUGUUUCUAGAACGUUACAGA